UACGUAGGGUGCAAGCGUUGUCCGGAUUUAUUGGGCGUAAAGAGCGUGUAGGCGGUUCGGUAGGUCCUUUGUGAAAACUCGAGGCUCAACCUCGAGACGCCGAUGGAAACCCUCGAACUAGAGUCCGGAAGAGGAGAGUGGAAUUCCUGGUGUAGCGGUGAAAUGCGCAGAUAUCAGGAAGAACACCCGUGGCUAAGGCGGCUCUCUAGUACGGUACUGACGCUGAGACGCGAAAGCGUGGGGAGCGAACAGG
rnacentral:rRNA from 1 species